rnacentral:rRNA from 1 species
CAGCCACGGUAAUACGGAGGGUGCAAGCGUUAUCCGGAUUUAUUGGGUUUAAAGGGUCCGUAGGCGGAUCUGUAAGUCAGUGGUGAAAUCUCACAGCUUAACUGUGAAACUGCCAUUGAUACUGCAGGUCUUGAGUAAAUUUGAAGUGGCUGGAAUAAGUAGUGUAGCGGUGAAAUGCAUAGAUAUUACUUAGAACACCAAUUGCGAAGGCAGGUCACUAAGAUUUAACUGACGCUGAUGGACGAAAGCGUGGGGAGCGAACAGGAUUAGAUACCCCAGUAGUCCCUGUCUCUUAUACACA